GAUGAACGCUGGCGGCGUGCCUAACACAUGCAAGUCGAGCGAGGGUUUGCUCAGUAUUGAGUAUUCUAAGUCUAGAAUGUUCAAUUCUGAGCAAAACCAAGCGGCGGACGGGUGAGUAACGCGUGGGUAACCUGCCCUAUACACAUGGAUAACAUACUGAAAAGUUUACUAAUACAUGAUAAUAUAUAUUUGUGGCAUCGCAGAUAUAUCAAAGUGUUAGCGGUAUAGGAUGGACCCGCGUCUGAUUAGCUAGUUGGUGAGAUAACUGCCCACCAAGGCGACGAUCAGUAGCCGACCUGAGAGGGUGAUCGGCCACAUUGGAACUGAGACACGGUCCAAACUCCUACGGGAGGCAGCAGUGGGGAAUAUUGCACAAUGGGCGAAAGCCUGAUGCAGCAACGCCGCGUGAACGAUGAAGGUCUUCGGAUCGUAAAG
rnacentral:rRNA from 1 species